rnacentral:rRNA from 1 species
AGUGAACGCUGGCGGUAGGCCUAACACAUGCAAGUCGAACGGCAGCACAGUAAGAGCUUGCUCUUACGGGUGGCGAGUGGCGGACGGGUGAGGAAUACAUCGGAAUCUACUUUUUCGUGGGGGAUAACGUAGGGAAACUUACGCUAAUACCGCAUACGACCUACGGGUGAAAGCAGGGGAUCUUCUGACCUUGCGCGAUUGAAUGAGCCGAUGUCGGAUUAGCUAGCUGGCGGGGUAAAGGCCCACCAAGGCGACGAUCCGUAGCCGGUCUGAGAGGAUGAUCAGCCACACUGGGAGUGAGACACGGUCCAGACUCCUACGGGAGGCAGAAGUGGGGAAUAUUGGACAAAGGGCGCAAGCCUGAUCCAGCCAUAGCGCGUGGGUGAAGAAGGCCUUCGUGUUGUAAAGCCCUUUUGUUGGGAAAGAAAAGCAGCAGGUUAAUACCCCGCUGUUCUGAGGGUACCGAAAGAAUAAGCACCGGCAAACUUCGU